rnacentral:rRNA from 1 species
AGAGUUUGAUCCUGGCUCAGAUGAACGUUGGCGGCGUGUCUAAGGCAUGCAAGUCGAGCGACGUACCUACCUUCGGGUAGAUUACGAGCGGCAGACGGGAGAGUAACACAUUGGUAACCUACCUCCGAGACGGGAAUAGCUACGGGAGACCGUAGAUAACGCCCGAUAGUCAUGAGGAGACACAAAGUCUUCUUUUGUAAAUAAUUUAUUGCUCGGAGAGGGGCCUAUGUCUGAUUAGCUUGUUGGUGAGGUAAUAGCUCACCAAGGCUUCGAUCAGUACCGGGCGUGAGAGCGUGACCCGGCUCACUGGGACUGAGACACUGCCCAGACUCCUACGGGAGGCUGCAGUCAAGAAUAUUCCACAAUGCACGAAAGUGUGAUGGAGCGACGCCGCGUGCAGGAAGACGCCCUUCGGGGUGUAAACUGCUUUUAUGUGGGAAGAAUUUGUGCGGUACCACAUAAAAGAGGUUGCUAACUCUGUGCCAGCACAGCCGGUAAUACAAGAGACCUCAAAACGUUAUCCGGAUUUCAUUGGGCGUAAAGCGUCCGCAAGGUUGUUUUUUAAGUGGUGGUCAAAUUUUCGGGCUUAACUCGGAAACUGCCACCAAUACUGGAAAACUUGAGGCUGGGAGAGGCACACGGAACUGUCCGGUGUAGUAGUAAAAUGCGUUGAUAUCGACAGGAACACCAAAGGCGAAGGCAGUGUGCUAGAACAGUCCUGACACUCAUGGACGAAAGCGUGGGGAGCGAAUGGGAUUAGAUACCCCAGUAGUCCACGCUGUAAACGGAUGUCUACUAGGUAUUGGCAGUAUCGACCCUGUCAGUGCCGUUCAAAAAAGCUAACGCGUUAAGUAGACCGCCUAAAAGUCGGCUGGCCCCAAAAAGGGGGA